rfam:Shinella sp. 65-6 SCNpilot_expt_1000_bf_scaffold_24755, whole genome shotgun sequence.
CCUCCUCGAUCUGCUGCGGGCAGAUAUAGUGGAUAUGCGCAUCCAUGCCGCCCGCCGUCAGGAUCUUGCCCUCGCCGGCGAUCACCUCCGUCGAAGGCCCGACGACGAUGGUGACGCCCGGCUGCGUAUCCGGGUUCCCGGCCUUGCCGAGCGCGGCGAUGCGCCCGUCCUUCAGCCCGACAUCGGCCUUGAAGAUGCCGGCAUGGUCGAUGAUCAGCGCAUUGGUGAUGACGGUAUCGACGGCGCCCUCCGCCCGCGUUGCCUGGCUCUGCCCCAUGCCGUCGCGGAUG